GAUGAACGCUGGCGGCGUGCCUAAUACAUGCAAGUCGAGCGAACGGACGCGAAGCUUGCUUCUCUCACGUUAGCGGCGGACGGGUGAGUAACACGUGUAUAACCUCCCUAUAAGACUGGGAUAACCUCGGGAAACCGGAGCUAAUACCGGAUAAUAUUUUGAACCGCAUGGUUCAAAAGUGAAAGACGGUCUUGCUGUCACUUAUAGAUGGUUCCGCGCUGCAUUAGCUAGUUGUUAAGGUAACGGCCUACCACGGCAACGAUGCGUAGCCGACCUGAGAGACUGAUAGGCGACACUAGAGCUUGACCACGGUCAAGACUACUGCGAGACGCAGCAGAAUGGAAUCUUACGCAGUAGGCGAGAGCCUGACGGAGCAAGGCCGCGUGAGAUAUGGCGGCGUUCGGUGCGUAAAGCUCUGUUAUUAGGGGAAAACAUAUGUGUCAGUAAAUGUGCACAUCGUGACGGUACCUAAUAAGAAAGCCACGGCUAACUACGUG
rnacentral:rRNA from 1 species